AUACAGUAAGACCUCACACAGAUCCCUUAGGAAUCCUUCUUCAUCUUUGGGAGAAGUGCAGACUAGGUCACGACAGACUUCUUUUUCCAUUUCAACUUCAACCUCAAAGAAUGUAUCUACAAGUUCCUCAGCUUGGUCUUUCAUCUGAUCACCUUUCUCUGCUAUUCUUUGCUGAGCUUUUCUAAAAACUCGAAGAUGAGUGCCGAAGUCAUCAACAAGUCGUGUAGUGAAGUAAGGCUGCCAGUCUGUUUCCUUUGACCUAUCAAAGUGACCCAUGAAAAUUAAGUAGUUUAUACAAAGAAUACAGAGAGCAAUUAUAAAUUUCUACUUCUCAUUCCUCCCUGCCAAGAGUCAGUGAUAACAAACACAGAGAGUGAGGAAAUUAAAAAAACCUCCUCAUCUCCUGUUCACCAAAACCAAAGAAAACAUUGUAAAAUAUUGUUCUUAUAUCUACAUAUUAAUAUUUAUGCUUGAAUUACUUUCAAGUGAACACCGAUACCUAGAGUAGUGUUCUGAAUCAUAGAAUCACAGAAUGGCCUGAGUUGAAAAGGACCAUAAUGAUCAUCGAGUUGCAUUCAGG
rnacentral:lncRNA from 1 species